AAUCUUUCGCAAUGGAGGGAACUCUGACGCAGCGACGCCGCGUGAACGAGGAAGGNCUNNGGAUCNUNAAGUUCCGUCCUCAGNNNNNAAGGUCACUUACCGUUACUUGACGGAACCAGUGUAGGAAGCCCCGGCUAACUACGUGCCAGCAGCCUCGGUAAUACGUAGGGGGCAAGCGUUGUGCGGAAUUUCUGGGCGUAAAGGUUGCGUAGGCAGGCUUUUAAGUCAGAUGUGAAAGACCACGGCUUAACUGUGGGGCUGCAUUUGAAACUAGAAGGCUUGAGUUUCGGAGAGGGUAGUGGAAUUCCCGGUGUAGCGGUGAAAUGCGUAGAUAUCGGGAGGAACAACAGUGGCGAAGGCGACUACCUGGUCGAGAACUGACGCUGAUGCACGAAAGCUAGGGGAGCAAACA
rnacentral:rRNA from 1 species